UACGAAGGGUGCUAGCGUUGUUCGGAAUUACUGGGCGUAAAGCGUGCGUAGGCGGUUAGGUAAGUCGGCUGUGAAAGCCCCGGGCUCAACCCGGGAAUUGCAGUUGAUACUGCCUGACUAGAAUCUGAUGGGGGAUGGCGGAAUUCCUAGUGUAGGGGUGAAAUCCGUAGAUAUUAGGAGGAACACCAGCGGCGAAGGCGGCCAUCUAUGUCAGUAUUGACGCUGAGGUACGAAAGCGUGGGGAGCAAACAGG
rnacentral:rRNA from 1 species